CAGACUUGGCUGUUCUAGAUUCAGAUUUCGAGACUACAGCUUCAUAUAAGCCAGAAUUCCUACUCCCUCCAUCAACUGCCGAAUCCAGCACAACUUGAGGUUGGGACUGAGGUUCAGGAUUCAGGAUAACACCUUCAUCCAAGCCAUAAUUCUUACUCCCUCCUGCAUCAACUGCAGGAUCCAGCACAACUUGAGGUUGGGACUGAGGUUCGGGAUUCGGGAUAACACCUUCAUCCAAGCCAGAAUUCUUACUCCCUCCUGCAUCAACUGCAGGAUCCAGCACAACUUGAGGUUGGGACUGAGGUUCGGGAUUCGGGAUAACACCUUCAUCCAAGCCAGAAUUCUUACUCCCUCCUGCAUCAACUGCAG
rnacentral:lncRNA from 1 species